GCGGCCUAUCAGCUUGUUGGUGAGGUAGUGGCUCACCAAGGCGACGACGGGUAGCCGGCCUGAGAGGGCGACCGGCCACACUGGGACUGAGACACGGCCCAGACUCCUACGGGAGGCAGCAGUGGGGAAUAUUGCGCAAUGGGCGAAAGCCUGACGCAGCAACGCCGCGUGCGGGAUGAAGGCCUUCGGGUUGUAAACCGCUUUCAGCAGGGAAGGAGCGAAAGUGACGGUACCUGCAGAAGAAGCACCGGCUAACUACGUGCCAGCAGCCGCGGUAAUACGUAGGGUGCAAGCGUUGUCCGGAUUUAUUGGGCGUAAAGAGCUCGUAGGCGGUUAGUCACGUCGGAUGUGAAAACUCAGUGCUUAACACUGAGCCUGCAUUCGAUACGGGCUGACUAGAGUAUUGUAGGGGAGACUGGAAUUCCU
rnacentral:rRNA from 1 species